ACGAAAUCGAUGAUGGAAAAAAGACAUGUAUAACGUCAACAGAGAGUCGGUGGUUGGUGCAAACCGAUGACAAGUCCUUGUCUUAGCAUUCCUGAGAAAUUGCAUUGAAUACAAGUAGGUGCAAUCGGAUAAACUCCGUUAUCAGUUAUGGUCACUAGGUGAUCAUUUGAGGCUGCUUCUAUAAUGGCAGUGAAUUAGGGUGGUACCACGAACAACUCUCGUCCCUUAC
rnacentral:ncRNA from 1 species